CAAUAGCGUAUAUUAAAGUUGUUGCAGUUAAAAAGCUCGUAGUUGGAUUUCUGGGAGGGUGCCGCCGUCCGGCGUGUCCGUGUGCAGUGGCGCCCUUCCAUCCUUCUGUUAGCGUCUCUUGGCAUUCAUUUGCUGGUGGCGGGCUCAGAUAUUUUACCUUGAGAAAAUUAGAGUGUUUCAGGCAGGCUAGGCCGGAAUACAUUAGCAUGGAAUAAUGGAAUAGGACUACGGUCUCUUUGUUGGUUUGAGGGACUGCAGUAAUGAUUAAUAGGGAUAGUUGGGGGCAUUAGUAUUUAAUUGUCAGAGGUGGAAUUCUCAGAUUUGUUAAAGACUAACUUAUGCGAAAGCAUUUGCCAAGGAUGUUUNCAUUG
rnacentral:rRNA from 1 species